rnacentral:rRNA from 1 species
UGGGGAAUAUUGGACAAUGGGCGAAAGCCUGAUCCAGCCAUGCCGCGUGUGUGAAGAAGGUCUUCGGAUUGUAAAGCACUUUAAGUUGGGAGGAAGGGCAGUAAAUUAAUACUUUGCUGUUUUGACGUUACCGACAGAAUAAGCACCGGCUAACUCUGUGCCAGCAGCCGCGGUAAUACAGAGGGUGCAAGCGUUAAUCGGAAUUACUGGGCGUAAAGCGCGCGUAGGUGGUUCGUUAAGUUGGAUGUGAAAUCCCCGGGCUCAACCUGGGAACUGCAUUCAAAACUGACGAGCUAGAGUAUGGUAGAGGGUGGUGGAAUUUCCUGUGUAGCGGUGAAAUGCGUAGAUAUAGGAAGGAACACCAGUGGCGAAGGCGACCACCUGGACUGAUACUGACACUGAGGUGCGAAAGCGUGGGGAGCAAAACAGGAUUAGAUACCCUGGUAGUCCACGCCGUAAACGAUGUCAACUAGCCGUUGGGAGCCUUGAGCUCCUUAGUGGCGCAGCUAACGCAUUAAGUUGACCGCCUGGGGAGUACGGCCGCAAGGUUAAAAGCU